GAGUAAAAGGAGCAGGCCAUGGAAACAGGAGUCAUGUCAAUCUUGGAAACGGAAGGAACGCCUUUUUUCUCUAUGCAUUUUCAGCUAGAGGAUUUCAGAAUCUCAACAGAAAUGUCAGCAGCAUCAGCAACAGAGUAAAGGUGCUUGAUAGCAAGACAGCAAAAGAAAUCGUGGAUGUCGGUUCAGCACCGUGAUGCUCGUACCGUCCACUGGAGCAGUUUGAAGAAAGACUUUCAUUAACAUACUUACACAGCAGUUGGCAUGCUUCCGGUGGCACAAUCAGGAUUCAAGGCAGAGCGCUUAAUGCCAAAGGGUAUUUCAUUGACACUCUCAGCACCAGAAUCUUCAAGGACUUCACCCCAGGCACAACGAUACUGAAGCAAAUGAACGUUUAGAGUGUUCUGAUAAAGAACGAUGGGUUUUUGUUGUUGUUGUUGUUUUGUUUUGUGUUUUUGUUUUGUUUUGUUUUUCCUUUUAAAUUAAACUCUCCAACUCAACUGCCUUUCUUCAGUAACAACUCAGUGUUCCCAAUGCAAUUUUCCAACUGGAGACAUCAUGAUUUUUUUUCUUCCCCCACGUACUUAAAACA
rnacentral:lncRNA from 1 species